UCACCAGACUCCUACGGGAGGCAGCAGUGGGGAAUAUUGCACAAUGGGGGAAACCCUGAUGCAGCGACGCCGCGUGAGCGAUGAAGUCUUUCGGUAUGUAAAGCUCUAUCAGCAGGGAAGAAAAUGACGGUACCUGACUAAGAAGCCCCGGCUAACUACGUGCCAGCAGCCGCGGUAAUACGUAGGGGGCAAGCGUUAUCCGGAUUUACUGGGUGUAAAGGGAGCGUAGACGGCUGUGCAAGCCAGGUGUGAAAGCCCGGGGCUCAACCCCGGGACUGCAUUUGGAACUGUGUGGCUGGAGUGUCGGAGAGGCAAUCGGAAUUCCGUGUGUAGCGGUGAAAUGCGUAGAUAUACGGAGGAACACCAGUGGCGAAGGCGGAUUGCUGGACAGUAACUGACGCUGAGGCGCGAAAGCGUGGGGAGCAAACAGGAUUAGAUACCCGAGUAGG
rnacentral:rRNA from 1 species